AAGAGCCGCAGUAUACUAACUGUGCAAAGGUAGCAAAAUAAUUUGUCUCCUAAUUAGAGACUAGAAUGAAUGGUCUGACGAGGAAAAAUCUAUCUCAUAAUUUUAUUUUAAAUUAACAUGUAAGUAAAAAGGCUUUCAUAUAUCAGCAAGACGACAAGACCCUAUAAAACUUUACCUUUUAUUUUUCUAACCUUAGAAUUUUUAUAUUUCAAGGGUUUAACUGGGGCGGUAUUUAUAUAAUCCUUAACUAUACAAAAUUAACCAUAUAUUAAUGAAUUAAUAAAUCUUACAUAAAACAUAACAGAAAGUUACUUUAGGGAUAACAGCAUAAUACUCUUAAAGAGUCCAAAUCGACAAGAGUGAUUAUGACCUCGAUGUUGAAUUGGGACACCAUCUAAAAGC
rnacentral:rRNA from 1 species